rnacentral:misc_RNA from 1 species
GGGGAAAGUCCCAGUGCCCAGCUAUCUAGUUCCAGUGCCAGUUUUUCCUUGCAUUUAGAAAAAAGUGCUUCGAUUUAAAUGCAGCUAAGAAUCUCCAGACCAGUUCCUGUUGGAGUGGAGUACCCUAUCCAGUUUGAGUUCCAGUUCCAGCCUCUUUCAUUGCUUCUGCCUUCGAACUUGUUGCAGUGACAGUUGGAGUAGCUUUCCUUCUGCCGGCUAGUGCUAGUUCUUCUCCAAACGAGCCAGUUGGAGGGCUUCUUCCCACCUGUCCUUCUCAAUGCCCUCUAAGUCUAUGGCCCUUCCUGCGAUUCCAUAUUCC